AAUGGGGGAAACCCUGAUGCAGCGAUGCCGCGUGAGAGAAGAAGGCCCUUGGGUUGUAAAACUCUUUCGUCGGGGAAGAAAAUGACUGUACCCGAAUAAGAAGGUCCGGCUAACUUCGUGCCAGCAGCCGCGGUAAUACGAAGGGACCUAGCGUAGUUCGGAAUUACUGGGCUUAAAGAGCUCGUAGGUGGUUAAAAAAGUUGAUGGUGAAAUCCCAAGGCUCAACCUUGGAACUGCCAUCAAAACUUUUUAGCUAGAGUGUGAUAGAGGUAAGUGGAAUUUCUAGUGUAGAGGUGAAAUUCGUAGAUAUUAGAAAGAACACCAAAUGCGAAGGCAACUUACUGGGUCACUACUGACACUGAGGAGCGAAAGCAUGGGUAGCGAAGAGGAUU
rnacentral:rRNA from 1 species